CCUACGGGUGGCAGCAGUGGGGAAUAUUGCACAAUGGGCGCAAGCCUGAUGCAGCCAUGCUGCGUGUGUGAAGAAGGCCUUCGGGUUGUAAAGCACUUUCAGCGGGGAGGAAGGCGUUAAGGUUAAUAACCUUGGCGAUUGACGUUACCCGCAGAAGAAGCACCGGCUAACUCCGUGCCAGCAGCCGCGGUAAUACGGAGGGUGCAAGCGUUAAUCGGAAUUACUGGGCGUAAAGCGCACGCAGGCGGUCUGUCAAGUCGGAUGUGAAAUCCCCGGGCUCAACCUGGGAACUGCAUUCGAAACUGGCAGGCUAGAGUCUUGUAGAGGGGGGUAGAAUUCCAGGUGUAGCGGUGAAAUGCGUAGAGAUCUGGAGGAAUACCGGUGGCGAAGGCGGCCCCCUGGACAAAGACUGACGCUCAGGUGCGAAAGCGUGGGGAGCAAACAGGAUUAGAUACCCUUGUAGUC
rnacentral:rRNA from 1 species